AGAGGAGAUGUAGGCUGAGGUCUUCAAAAACAACGUUGCGGUGAAGUUCCAUUAUCUUCCUAAGGAUGUGAGGUGCUUUCAGAAGGUUUCCCAGGGAAAUUUACCGUUUUGAUUAAAUAGUCACGUAUUAGUCAGGUCUGAUCCUCCCACUACCUGAGCAUCUUCUCCAACCUGCUCAGUAGCUCUGCUCCAAUAUAAACCUUGCUGAAGUGGAGUCUACAAUUGCCAAGCUCUUCUGUGAUCUGUUCAGAAAUAUAUUUAUUCAGCAACAAGCAAAUGAGACUGAAACAUGGAAGCGGACCUUAUUACUGAGUUAAGAAGUCAUAUUCAGAUCUCAGUUUGGACGAAAGUCGCCCCUUGUCCUCUCUGCCUCUUUCACAGUAAGUACAAUUGUUUUCUUCUUGCGAAGUUGUUAUCUGCAACCUAUAAAAAGGCCAAAGACAUUUGAGGAGUACACAAGUAUAUAAGUUGGAGGGCCUGCUUUGAACAGAUCUCUUCAAAUGCUUUGAGAGUGACCCCUUGCUAGCAAACAGCACUCGUAUACCUAUACGCAUCUGCAAAACCAGUGCAGUAUGGGCCUCAGCCUCUCCUAGAUGUGCUUCUGCAAGAGAUUUGCUUGUGUGAAUGCCUUACAGAUAGUUUCAACAGGAGUGCUGGAAGAUGGCAUGUCUUAGAUACAUGGGUAUCAUCAUUGCCACGUCCAUCACCGACCUCACCCGUUGCAUCUCCCACCAUGCAAACUCAUGGAAUAUAAAUCCAGAAGG